rnacentral:rRNA from 1 species
AGCUCUUCAGUAGUUUACUACAGAAAAUGACUGAGCGGCGAACGGGUGAGUAACGCGUGAGCAAUCUACCUUAGUUACAGGGAUAGCCCGAGGAAACUCGGAUUAAUACCUGAUAUUCUUUAUUUCUCGCAUGAGAAUAAAAGGGAAGGUCAGCCGAACUAAGAUGAGCUCGCGUUCUAUCAGCUAGUUGGUGAGGUAAAAGCUUACCAAGGCUACGACGGAUAGCUGGUCUGAGAGGACGAUCAGCCACACUGGGACUGAGACACGGCCCAGACUCCUACGGGAGGCUGCAGCAGGGAAUAUUGUGCAAUGAACGAAAGUUUGACACAGCGACACCGCGUGUGGGAUGACGGAUCUAGGUUUGUAAACCACUUUCAGGAGGGAAGAAAAUGACGGUACCUCCACAAGAAGCCCCGGCCACUACGUGCCAGCAGCCGCGGUAAUACGUAGGGGGCGAGCGUUGUCCGGAUUUAUUGGGCGUAAAGAGCUCGUAGGCGGUUCAACAAGUCGGUCGUGAAAGUUCAGGGCUCAACCCUGAAAUGUCGAUCGAUACUGUUGUGACUAGGAUACGGUAGAGGUGAGUGGAAUUCCGAGUGUAGCGGUGAAAUGCGUAGAUAUUCGGAGGAACACCAAUUGCGAAGGCAGCUCACUGGGCCGCUAUCGACGCUGAGGAGCGAAAGCUAGGGGAGCAAACAGGAUUAGAUACCCUGGUAGUCCUAGCUGUAAACGAUGGAUACUAGAUGUAGGAACUGGAUUGACGGUUUCCGUAUCGCAGCUAACGCGUUAAGUAUCCCGCCUGGGGAGUACGGUCGCAAGACUAAAACUCAAAGGAAUUGACGGGACCCCGCACAAGCGGCGGAGCAUGUGGCUUAAUUCGAUGAUACCCGUAGAACCUUACCUGGACUUGACAUAUAGGGUCAAGCUAUAGAGAUAUAGUGUGCAUUAGCGCCCUAUACAGGUGGUGCAUGGCUGUCGUCAGCUCGUGUCGUGAGAUGUUGGGGUUAAGUCCCGCAACGAGCGCAACCCCUAUCCUAUGUUGCCAGCAUU